UACGAAGGGGGCUAGCGUUGUUCGGAAUUACUGGGCGUAAAGCGCGCGUAGGCGGUGAUCUUUGUCAGAGGUGAAAUCCCGAGGCUCAACUUCGGAAUUGCCUUUGAAACGGGAUUGCUUGAGUCCGAGAGAGGAUGGCGGAAUUCCUAGUGUAGAGGUGAAAUUCGUAGAUAUCAGGAGGAACACCGGUGGCGAAGGCGGGUCUCUGGGCCGAUGACUGACGCUGAGGAGCGAAAGCAUGGGUAGCGAACAGG
rnacentral:rRNA from 1 species